GCCAAGGCCUUUCAGGCUUGGUCGUACGGGCGCCGGGAGGUGUCCGGUGCCCUUAUGGUUACGUUGCUCAUUAUGGAGGAUGUAGCUAUGAGAU
rnacentral:sRNA from 1 species